AGAAAAAUUGUGUUUAUAAAUUAAGGACCAUGACAAGAAAACCUGCCGAUGAAAAGCAGAAAGUUUCACUGGAACUUUGUCAAUAUUAUAAUUGCAAAACAACAUGAAGUUAAGGCCACCAAAAGUAGAGAAGACAUGAUGAGGAAUACAAUUCCAGAUAGAAGUGGGUCUUCUUAGGAAUUGUUUUAUCCAAUUGAUCUUGAAAGUAUUUUUAAAGUAGUAAAAUCCAGAAAAUUCAGUCCACCAUUCUCAUAAGUGUUCAUUACAACAGUUUUCCUAAUGUAAUGGGUACGGUUUCUCCAAAGAAAGUUGAAAAGCAUCUGGUCUAUCUCCUUGCUUAUUUUACGGUCAAGAUAUAAAGAUAGAGCACCAUAUGUUAGUCUAGAGAUACCUUCAGCCUUGGUUAUUAGGACUCUACCUUUUAAAGAUAAGUCCCUCUGUAGCCAUUGAUUUAGUUUCUUCUGGGGUUUUUUAAUAAGAGGGUUAAAAUUUAGUAAGCCUCUAGACUUCUGAUCCUUUGUAAUGGUUAUGCCUAAAUAUGUAAGUUCUUCUUUUACUGGAAUACCAUAAUAUGAAGGUGUCACACAAUCUUUGACAGCCAUGAGUUCACAUUUCUUAAUGUUAAGAUAUAGACCAGACGCUUUGGAAAAGGAUUGUAUCACAUUGAUCGAUAUGGGAAUUUGGUUAGCAUCUUUCAGAAAAAGUGUAGUAUCGUCAGCCAGCUGGCUUAUAAUAAUUUCUUUACCAGCUAUGGAAAUACCUUGUACAGGACUAUUAUUUAAAGAAUUUGCAAGAAGUUGGGUGAUUAAUAAAAACAGGUACGGAGAGAUAGGACAACCUUGCCUAAUUCCUCUCUUUAACUCAAAUCUAGGUGAGGUGCCAUAUUUCAAUUUGAUAGAGCUGUUACCAUUUGCAUAGAGAGUCUUAAUAGCCUUACAGAAAAAAUCCCCAAAGCCAAGUCUCUCAAGGGAGUGGAAGAGAAACUGAUGCUCUACUGUGUCAAAUGCUUUAUAAAAAUCUAAAAAUAAUAUGAAGCUAUCCUCAGUUAAGAAGCAGUGCUGCUUGGUUGGGUUGUGUAUCGGAGGACGCAUGACUUUCAACCUUCGUCUCUCCUGAGCCCGUAUGGGAGGUGUAUCGAUGAGACAAGAUAGUACCUACUAACAAUUGGAUACCACGAAAAAGGGGUAAUUAAAAUUAAAAAAAAAAAAAAAAAAAUCUUCCCUAUGGUUUUGUCUCUAAGUAUUUUGUUUUUUUAACAUAGGGCCUGCAGAAAUAGUUUUAGAGCCACUCAUCUUUGGUCAAGGUGGGAAAGGGGUGAUUGAGAAGUGGGAGUGAGGCCUAGGCUACAUUGAAACAACAAGAAAUGAUAUGAUGCCUACUGUUUUACCUCAACAACUUGGCCUACAGCUGCUGCCCAUGGGUGGUGCAUUCACUUCAUGAAAAUCAUAAUUGGGUUUCAUACUACAUUUCUACCUGAUAAACAUCAGGAGACCCUAUUGAUGUAUCACUAUUGUCAUUAGUGAUAGUAGGCUUAAGCUGCAAUAGGCUGAUAUUAUUACAGUUUUUUUUCAAUCAUUUCACACUGGGUGCACACUAGUUGAAUCAAUUUGUUUCCAUAUCAUUUCAAUACAUUUACGUUGAAACAAUGUGGAGUAGACGUUGAAAUGACGUCUUUGCCCAGUGGGUUUGGUGCAAUUUAGUAUGUUGUACAUUUCACAACUCUAAGCAUGAAAAUCUAAACAGAUCAUCAAAAUGGCUCAUUUCAAAACUCUAAGCACAUUUUCAAUUGAGUACAGCAAAUAAAUUCACUAAGUCAUUGGUUCACUUGUCCACUGCACCAAAUCACUACCAAUGUGUAUACAUAUUCACUAAGUAUCUGCUUUUCAAAAUGCAAUAUUCACUUUACAUUUGAUAUGAUUUUCUUGUCAUUUGUUAACAAUAAGAUUAACUAUAAUUUAAUCAAACUGCUCAAAACUGAUAACUACUGAACCAAAAUUAUGUAGUGCUUAGUUAACGUAUAUAGUUUGAUAACUGCUGAACACUGUACAUUUCUAUAUUUUUACCUCAAAUGUAUCAAUUUGACAUCAAUUUAUGUUGGAAGGUAAACCAAACUUGGCUGUAAAUAAUACAUAAUCUCUCUCCGUCAGCCAGUGCUCUUCAAGAGUCACUGUAACACUCGCUGCAGCCGCCUACAGUCCAACUCAUCAGGUUUAAGUGCAAUAGUAUUUGAAAUCAGUCAAUUCUCUGUUCUUACAUAUAUACUGUAGAUAGGCCUACUAUAGUAGAUGAUGAUUGGAAAUAAUGUCCUGUUCUUCAAUUCAUGAAUUUCAUUUUAAUCUUCUAUAUUGUCUGAAUUUUGAAUUGACUGACUCUGCCCCAAGAUAGAGACAUUUUCCUGGCUUACCAUUUCUGGUUGUAACUGUAAUUUUGUUGCAGAAAUCCAAAAUCCCACAGAGGUUAAGUGGACAGUGGAGGAUUUUAACAAUGGUACCCGACUCCUCAAUCUGACUUGGGGUACACCACCUUAUCCAGUCUCUGUGGGACAGGUGAAUUACAACCUCUCUCUCCAUAUUUGGCCUUGCCAACUAAAGCAAACGAACCACACCAAUAUCACUACCACUGAGUUUAGUGUUUAUGUGACUUACUCUGCUGUCAAUGGUUACAUUUUUGCCUUUAAUAAGGUGGGAAAGUCAUCGCAGACACAUAUCCUUGUCCCAGCAAAACAUCUUACAUAUCCCAGGAAGUCUUGGCCUGAUGACAAACUCAUCCCACGCAAUUACACCCCUCGCCUUAAAAAUUCCUGUCUGGAAUGGUACAAGCUAACAGACGGAGAAACACAACCAGCCAAAGUGAAUAUAUCAAAAAUUAUGAAUGGAACAUUGGAGGAAACACUCAAAUCUAUCAGACAAAUUAAGGGGGAACUUCACGAAAAGUAUAUAUUUCUUAAGAAUAAGAAAUGUCUGUGUUCGUCUUACUGUGAUAUACUGUAUAUCUUGGUCUCUCUCUUGAACUGAAGAUAAUGUCUGGUUUUGAUUUUUAGAGAUGGACGACUAUGUACGUUACUUUUACCUCGUUCACAAACAAACUGAUGGAAAGCCACAAACAACAGAAAUGCAUCUCAUGUACA